GAUGAACGCUGGCGGCGUGCCUAAUACAUGCAAGUCGAGCGAACAGACGAGGAGCUUGCUCCUCUGACGUUAGCGGCGGACGGGUGAGUAACACGUGGAUAACCUACCUAUAAGACUGGGAUAACUUCGGGAAACCGGAGCUAAUACCGGAUAAUAUAUUGAACCGCAUGGUUCAAUAGUGAAAGACGGUUUUGCUGUAACUUAUAGAUGGAUCCGCGCCGAAUUAGCUAGUUGGUAAGGUAACGGCUUACCAAGGCAACGAUGCGUAGCCGACCUGAGAGGGUGAUCGGCCACACUGGAACUGAGACACGGUCCAGACUCCUACGGGAGGCAGCAGUAGGGAAUCUUCCGCAAUGGGCGAAAGCCUGACGGAGCAACGCCGCGUGAGUGAUGAAGGUCUUCGGAUCGUAAAACUCUGUUAUUAGGGAAGAACAAAUGUGUAAGUAACUAUGCACGUCUUGACGGUACCUAAUCAGAAAGCCACGGCUAACUACGUG
rnacentral:rRNA from 1 species